rnacentral:rRNA from 1 species
ACGAACGCUGGCGGCGUGCCUAAUACAUGCAAGUCGAACGCUUCUUUCCUCCCGAGUGCUUGCACUCAAUUGGAAAGAGGAGUGGCGGACGGGUGAGUAACACGUGGGUAACCUACCCAUCAGAGGGGGAUAACACUUGGAAACAGGUGCUAAUACCGCAUAACAGUUUAUGCCGCAUGGCAUAAGAGUGAAAGGCGCUUUCGGGUGUCGCUGAUGGAUGGACCCGCGGUGCAUUAGCUAGUUGGUGAGGUAACGGCUCACCAAGGCCACGAUGCAUAGCCGACCUGAGAGGGUGAUCGGCCACACUGGGACUGAGACACGGCCCAGACUCCUACGGGAGGCAGCAGUAGGGAAUCUUCGGCAAUGGACGAAAGUCUGACCGAGCAACGCCGCGUGAGUGAAGAAGGUUUUCGGAUCGUAAAACUCUGUUGUUAGAGAAGAACAAGGACGUUAGUAACUGAACGUCCCCUGGCGGUAUCUAACCAGAAAGCCACGGCUAACUACGUG